UACAGCGGUGGCAAGCGUUGUUCGGAAUUACUGGGCGUAAAGGGCGCGUAGGCGGUUCGUUAAGUCCUGUGUGAAAUCCCCCGGCUCAACUGGGGAACUGCACAGGAAACUAGCGGGCUUGAGUUCGGGAGAGGGAAGCGGAAUUCCGGGUGUAGCGGUGAAAUGCGUAGAUAUCCGGAGGAACACCGGUGGCGAAGGCGGCUUCCUGGACCGACACUGACGCUGAGGCGCGAAAGCUAGGGGAGCAAACGGG
rnacentral:rRNA from 1 species